ensembl:lncRNA
GUACACAACUAGCUUCAACUGAAAGUGUUGACAUGUUGCUUCUAUGCGUUUUGCAGAUUGGAAAAUUGAACCAGAUAAAAAUAAAGCAGCAUCCUUAUACACUAAGGAAAUAAUUCGUCAACAUGAGACUGGAAAAUCCCUCUUGAUGACCAUGGAUGUGAGAAUGGACAAGGAAGAUCAAGACAGAGAACUUGUUGCAUUCUACAAACAAAACGGCAUAGAAUGGGCAUGCCCUGUGAAGUGCAAACUCCAAGGUGGUAUUAAUUAUUUUAUUGGCCAUUUUCUUUUCUUUUUGGACUGUUAAUUUUAAUCCGUUACAAUCAGGGGAUGCUGCCAUUGGUGAAGGUGUGACUAGACACUUCUUUUCAACUGUUAUACAGAGGCUUCAGCAUGGUUUCAAUUUUAACAUGGGAAAUACUGGAAGGACCUGUCUCUUUGAAGGUGAACCAGGCCAUCUUGUUCCAUCAUCUUCACAAUUUCUCAUAGAGAGUGAUCUGUUCCUAGUUGCGGGACGCAUGAUUGGACAUGCAUUCCUACAUGGUGGACCUCGGCUGGCUGGAGUCAGCCAAGCAAUAGUCCAUGUACUUCUAGGUGGUUCAGCUGAGACUGCUACAGUGCAAAUCGAAGACUGUCCUGACCAUGAUAUUCGUGAAACCAUAAAACUGCUUGAUGGAGAGGCAGAACUCAGUAGUGAAGAAUAUCAAGCUGUCCUUGACC